GGUAGCGUGGCCGAGCGGUUUAAGGCGCUGGUUGAAGUCACCUAUCUACUCGGAGGCGUGGGUUCGAAUUCCACCGCUGCCA
rnacentral:tRNA from 1 species